GCGGAGCCGGGCAGAGGUUUUAGGGGAAUGAUUAACAAAGGCGUCCGAAGAAAUCGUUGUUGGAAGGUGGCCAAAGUGGAAAGAGAGGUUGCUUUGGCCCUGCAAGUAAGAAGAGAGAAGGAAUAGCCUGAAGGAGUAACACUAAAUUUAAAAUGACACUUUUUUACCAACCAGCGAAAGCAGAUGUUCAAAGGGGAUAUUGGCCAGGUGCGGUCGCUCACGCCUUUAAUCCCAGCACUUUGGGGGCAGACGCGGGGAGAUAGCGUGAUUCUAGGAGUCCAACCCCGGCCUGGGCAACAUGCGGAGACCCCGUACCGUCUCUACAAAAACAUUAAACAAAAAAAUUAGCUGGGCAUGGUGGUGUACCCCUGUAGUUGCAGCUACACUAGAGGCUGAGGUGGGAGGAUCUCUGAGCCCGGGAUGUUGAGGCUGCAGUGAGCCUCGAUCCUACCACUGUGCUCCAGCCUGGGCGACAGCAAGCCCGUGUCUCAGAAAAGGCGGGAGGGGUGGGAUAUUAUUGAUGAUAGGCCUUCUGACGUCUGGCAAUAGAUUACAGAGUAACAUCGGUCAUGGAUAAAUUUUUUUUUUAACUAAGU
rnacentral:lncRNA from 1 species